AUUGAACGCUGGCGGCAGGCCUAACACAUGCAAGUCGAGCGAGCGGCGGACGGGUGAGUAAUGUCUGGGAAACUGCCUGAUGGAGGGGGAUAACUACUGGAAACGGUAGCUAAUACCGCAUACCAUCAGAUGUGCCCAGAUGGGAGUAGCUAGUAGGUGGGGUAACGGCUCACCUAGGCGACGAUCCCUCGCUGGUCUGAGAGGAUGACCAGCCACAAUGGAACGGAGACACGGUCCAGACUCCGCCGUGAGCCAGCAGUGGGGAAUAUGGCACAAUGGGCGCAAGCCUGAUGCAGCCAUGCCGCGUGUGUGAAGAAGGCCUUUGGGUUGUAAAGCACGUUCAGCGGUGAGGCGUGACCCGCAGAAGAAGCACCGGCUAACUCCGUGCCAGCAGCCGCGGUAAUAC
rnacentral:rRNA from 1 species